ACUUAUGUUCUGCUGCUGACUUGUUGUCUUGUGUGGAGCAGCUGAGUUCCUAUCUCCACCCUCAGUAAGAUGGGAAAACUCUACCUUCUGCUGCUCUCUCUCUGUCUGCCAUGUUUAAAUGGCCAGAGUCUGGAGUCCAUUCCCUCCAGUCCAGUCCUGAAAAAGCCUGGAGAAACUCUCAGUCUCUCCUGUAAGAUAUCUGGAUACACUGUUGACAGCCACUACACACACUGGAUACGACAGCCAGCAGGAAAAUCUCUGGAAUGGAUGGGUUAUUCUGGAUUAGGUCUAGGUAACCAUGCUAAAACUUUUGAAGGACGCAUGGAAACGACUAAGGAUAAUUCCAACAGCAUGUUGACUUUGAAGCUGUCUGUUCUGAGAGCAGAGGACUCUGCUGUGUAUUACUGUGCAAGAGAGGAUAUGGGCUGGGGGGCUUUUGACUACUGGGGUAAAGGGACACAAGUCACCGUCUCAACAGCAACCACAGCCCCCUCUUCCCUAUUCCCUCUUACGAACUGUGGAACCCCUACUAACGACAUCUACAGCAUUGGUUGUGUCGCUACCGGCUUUUCGCCUUCCUCAAUCUCCUUCAAAUGGACAGACGCCGGCAAGAGUCCGCUGACAGACUUUGUCCAGUACCCGUCGGUUCAGAGCGGGGAGCCUACAUCGGAGUCAGUCAGCUCCGCUUGUCUAAGAACGUCUGGGAAAACUCAAAGUCUUUCAUUUGUUCUGUGGAACAUCUUGGAAGUGAACAGACAGCAGUCAUCAAUAAACCAGUCUCAAAGUCUCCAUCAGUGUCUUUGCUUUCGGGGCCCAUUGGCACCACCCAGUACCUGAUGUGUAUGAUUGAAGAUUUCACCCCCAAUAAAGUCACUGUCACCUGGAAGAAGAAUGACAAGGAGGUGGAGGGCCAGACUCCUACUGUAGGCCUACAGCCAUCAGGCCUCUACUCAGCCAGCAGUCUGCUGAAGGUCAACAACACUGACUGGAACAACAAGGUCAAGUACAGCUGUGUGGUGCAGCACCAGGGACAAACCACCAUCAAGACAAUCUCCAAAACAGAACCACUGACGGUGACUCUGAACCCACCGAGUGUGAAAAAGGUGUUCAUGGACAACCAAGCAGUGCUGGACUGUGUCAUCACUGCUACAGACCAGAACACAGUGGCUGGUACCACUAUCACCUGGCAGGUCAACGGAAAGGACGAGACGGAAAGAAUCGUUGAAUCAAAGGGCAACCUGAACAGCAGGGUCAGUACACUGACCAUAGACCAGACAGAGUGGACCAAUGUGAACAAUGUCCAGUGUUCUGCCAUGAAGAGAGGUGAAGACACACCGGUCAUUCAGGACAUCAGCUUCACCAAAGGAAGUCGAGCCCCUUCAGUGUCCGUUCACCUUCUCCCGGAGGAAGACACCAAGAAGCAGGGGGAUGUGACUCUGGUGUGCCUGGUGGUCAGCCCGUCUCUCUGUGACAUCUACAUCAUGUGGAAGGAGGACAGUGGCGAGUACCAGGAUGGGGUCACCAGCCCUCCUCAGAAAACCCCGGAAGGCAACUACUCUGUCACCAGUGUCUUCACCGUCAAAAAAAAUAAGUGGGAGGGAAACUCGGUUUUUGCAUGUGCCGUCAAGCACCGCUUGGACAACAACACAGCACCUCAGGAGAGGAGUGUGUCAAAGUCCAUGGGGAACAUCCUACUGACUGAGCCUGAGGCGGGCUUCGCUCUGAGCUGCACGGACAACGUUGAGGAUGAGUUCGGCAGCUUGUGGUCCACCACCUCCUCCUUUAUCAUCCUCUUUCUUCUCUCUCUCACCUACAGCACAGUACUCAGCCUGGUCAAGAUGAAGCAGUGAAGAACACAUGAUGGACUGCAGAGAUAGAUGUGUCUAGAUUAGAAAGAUGGUUAUGGCACAGUGUUCUUCACUAAUAAUGUUAUGUAUAUAUCCAAUACAUUAUGGUGAUGUGUUAUAUUUCCUUCAUUGAUUUCUAUUGUACACUAUCUUUAAAUCUAAGUGUAUCCUCUGAUGUCUCUGUGAUCUAUUUCACUUGAAUAAAGUCUAAGAUUUAGCUA